GGAGGAAUGGCCGAGUGGUCGAAGGCGCCUGACUCGAAAUCAGGUAUACGGCUUGCCGUAUCAAGGGUUCGAAUCCCUUUUCCUCCU
rnacentral:tRNA from 1 species